rnacentral:rRNA from 1 species
UUAAUAAUUUAUUUGAGUUUUUUUUUUUUUUAUUAAUGAAAGUAUUUAUUCAAAAUUUUAGUAUUAUUUAGAAAUAAUAUUUUAUUCAAUAGUUAAUUUGUACCUAAAGGGAUUAAUAGUUUAUUUUAUUUAUUAAAAGUAUAUUUUUUAUAUUACCUUUUGUAUCAGGGUUAAUUAAUUUAUUUUAAUUUAUUUUAUUUUCUCGAAUAUAGAGGAUUUAAUUGUAAAGUGUUAGUUAAUGUUGUAUAAUUAUUAAUAAUUUACUUUUAGUAGUGAAAUGUUAUUCGUCUUUAUUGAUAUCUAGUUUCUUAAGAUUAAAUUUAAUUUUGUGUUAUUUAGUUUUUUAUAUUUUUUUUUAUAAAUUAUUUUUUAGUAUUAUUUUAUUGGGGAUAAUCUCAAUAUAUUGUAAAAAUUUUUUUGUUAAGUAAUUUUUAUAGGCUUAGAAUUAGCAUUUAUUUAAUUAUGUAAUUAUUUAUUUUAUGAGGUUAUUAUAUUUAUUUUGAUUUUAUUUUUUAUUAAGAUUAUUAUUUUAAUAAUUUUUUAAUUUAAUAAUGAUUAAAUUAGUAUAAUAAUUAAGUAUUAAUAUUAGGAAUUUGGCAAAAAUUGUUUUCACCUGUUUAUCAAAAACAUGGUUUUUAGUAUUUAUAUUAAAGAUCUAAUCUGCUCAAUGAUAUUAAUUUAAUAGCCGCGGUAUAUUAACUGUGCAAAGGUAGCAUAAUAAUUAGUCUUUUAAUUGGAGUCUGGAAUGAAUGAUUUGAUGAAAAAUUAUCUUUCUUUAUUAUUUAUUUUGAAUUUAAUUUUUGAGUGAAAAAGCUUAAAUAAUUUUAAGGGACGAUAAGACCCUAUAGAGCUUAAUAAAUUUUUUAUUUUUUUAUUAUUUUGGUUUAUUUAUAUAUUAUAAUUUACUAAAGUUUUUUAUUGGGGUGAUAAAAUUAAUUAAAAUAACUUUAUUUAUUUAUUUCAUUGAUUUAUGUUUUUUUGAUCUAAUAUUAUUGAUUAUAAGAAUUAGUUACCUUAGGGAUAACAGCGUAAUUUUUUUGUAGAGUUCAUAUCGAUAGAGAAUUUUGCGACCUCGAUGUUGGAUUAAGAUUAAAUUAGGGGGUAGGUUUUCUUAAUUUUAAGUCUGUUCGACUUUUUAAUUCUUACAUGAUCUGAGUUCAGACCGGCGUGAGCCAGGUUGGUUUCUAUCUUUAAAUUUUGUAUUUACCUUAGUACGAAAGGACCAGUUGUAAUUAAUUUAAAAUUUUUUUUUGAAUUUUAUUAA